rnacentral:misc_RNA from 1 species
GAUGAAGAACGCAGCGAAUUGCGAUAUGUAAUGUGAAUUGCAGAAUUCAGUGAAUCAUCGAAUCUUUGAACGCACCUUGCGCCCUUUGGCCAUUCCGAAGGGCAUGCCUGUUUGAGUAUCAUGAACACCUCAACUCUUUAUGGUUUUCCAUGAUGAGCUUGGACUCUGGGGGUUUUGCUGGCUCACAGUCGGCUCCUCUAAAAUGAAUCAGCUUACCAGUGUUUGGUGGGUAUCAUGGGUGUGAUAACUAUCUACGCUUGUGGUUUUUCCACCAGGUAACCUUCAGCAGUGGAGGUUCGCUGGAGCUCAUAGAUGUCUCUCCUCAGUGAGGACAGCCCUUUGAAUGUUUGAUCUCAAAUCAGGUAGGACUACCCGCUGAACUUAAGCAUAUCAAUAAGCGGAGGA